rnacentral:lncRNA from 1 species
GGGGAGGGGAGGGGAGGGGGGAUAGUAGAGGAUAGGAAAGGUAGCAGAAUACAACAGUUACUAAUAGGGAAUUAUGUAAAAAUGUGGAUGUGUAACUGAUGUGAUUCUGCAAUCUGUAUUUGGGGUAAAAUUGGGAGUUCAUAACCCAGUUGAAUCUAAUGUAUGAAAUAUGAUAUGUCAAGAGCUUUGUAAUGUUUUGAACAACCAAUAAAAAAAAGAUAUUCAAACCACCAUACAUCAGAGACAAUGUGGCAGUUUUCAUAAUAAGUGUACAAAUGAGAAGUUAUAUGGUCCUAAAAGUAUUAAAAUUGUAUUCAAGAUUUUCCUAUGGAAAAUAUUUCAUAAACCCAGAUCAGCAUUCUCAAAAAACAGUGAAAUUCUUUAUAUUUGACUCCUUUUAAGUCCUUGGCAUAUAUUUUAAUCCAUACAUAGUUGCAAUAUUCUGUGAGGUCAGAGGGUCUGUUUGACAUCACAUUGAUUCAAAUGCCAUCUACUACUGCUAUAAUCAUAAGCUUCCUAAUGGUCCAUAAUUAAAUUCCAUGGAGCAAAUUGCUAAUAUUUGGGAGACAUAAAGAAAACAACUGGUAUAUCAAGAUGACUGAAUUUUUCAUUUUUAAAUUUUAAUCCAUAAUGGAAAAAAAUUUCAUAAAUAAAGAUUAUCCUGAAUACAAUUGUAGGCACAAAUGUUUUCUGCUGUAAACAAUCCAAUAAAAAUUAACAGAAAUCCUGCUUACUAAGCACUAUUCUAGGAAAUGUGUGAUAGAAAAUUUAAUAUAACAAUGCAGUCAAAGAACUUGAAAAUACUGUUAUCUUAAAAAGAUUAAACUUCUUACAACUUUGUCUACUAUACUAAUUUGCUUAAUGAUACUUUUUCUAAGCAUUCAACAAAUAUUUAUGAAUUAUGCUAUGGAGUUAAUAUUAUUACUUGAUAUGCAUAGAAGGUCAAAAUAUUCUUUUCAUCUUUAAUUGAAAAUAUUAUAGGAUUAGAUAAAUAUCUGAUAGAAUAAAUACUUGGAGCUUACAUUAUAAUAGUAUUUUGACUAUAAAUUAUUUAGAUAUAUUUGUGAUCAAUUACUAAAUGCAUAUGUGUUUUUGUUACAUUUUAUGGUGGCUUUCCAAUUUGUAUUGAAUUUUGGUCAGAAGGUAAGUUUUGUAGGAUUUGGAUUCUUUGGUAUCUAAGAUUUUCUUUAUUGCUAAACAUAUAACUGUUUUUUUUAAAAAAUGUCCCUUAUGUGCUGGAAAAGAAUGCUUGUUUUCUACUUGUUGACUGAAAAAUUCUACAUAUUCUGAGACAAAGUUCGCUGAUUGCAUUUGUUUGUGUGUCUCUCUCUCUGUGUGCAUGGUGCUGGGGAUCAAACCCAGGGCUUGCACAUGUUAUAAACAUUUUAUCACUAAGUUACAUAACCCACCUGCUGAUUGUAUUAUUAUUUUUUCUGACAAUUUUAUCAAUAAAAUUCUGAGACAUACAUCAAAGUAUUUCACUGUGAUUCUGAAUGUACUGUAACAAUAUCUCCUUGUAAUUGUAGCAACUUUGCUUUGUUUAUUUUUAGGAUGUAUUUUAGGUGCAUAUGCAUAUAAGUCUGAUACUUUGAUAAUUUAUCAAUAGAUUUCCAUCCAAUUUAUGCAAUAUACCACUUAUUUUUGGUAAUAAAAGUAAAUUUGAACCAAAAAUUCAUUGAAGAUUUUCUAACAGAGAUUAAAACCUACCAUUAAAAAUCUCCUGACUUUUAUUGUUUACUUUUUGCUUUGUUUUGUUUAAUGAACCUGACUUACAUUGUUUGAGAACUAUGCCACCUAUAG